rnacentral:rRNA from 1 species
AGACCUCUGACCUCAAAUCAGUAGACACCGUCG